GCCGCCUCCGCCACCACCGGCCGGCGCCGCCGAGCGGGCGAGGUGCGCCACCGGAGGCGAUGCGCGUUGGCGCCGCGUCGGCGCGCGCGCGGGUUGUUCGGUGUGGCGGCUUACCCUGCCGCCUAAGCCCUGCUCCGUGCGCGCCGAGGCCGCUGGGCCGGCGUGUGCGCAGCGCGGGACGCCGCGCGGCGGCCCGUGGAGUGCGCGCCGGCAUGCGCACUGAGGGUCACCGGAGUCGCGCACCAUCUCCGUCUUGGUCAGGGGGACGAUGUUGCCGCGCAUCGCGCAAAUUGCAAAGGUGUGCUCCGCAGUAGGUACAGCCGUACAGUUGUUGGCAAAGCAUGCAGUGUGUGGAAGCUAGAAGGUUCAGGGCUUAUUAAAUUACUUCGCAAGUCAGCGGCAGACAUACUUUUUUCUUCCCUGAUUUUAGCUUUGUAUGACACUUGCAAGAUUCGUUGUGAUCAUCUUAACAGUUUAUUGUAUCUGGUCAAUAGGAGGAUGGAGGAUAGUGAUUAAGUUAUGCGCCACAAGAUAACAACAAGAGUGAUCAUAAGGGUGAAUAGGAAGCAUGAAGCUAUUUGUUGCAGUUCUCCUAUUCUACAUCUUGAAGCACACUAGUGGCCAGCCUGAUAUCCGAGGUUUCAUAAGCAUUGAUUGUGGCAUCCCGGAUAACUCUUCGUACCAAGAUCUCACUUCAAGCAUAGUAUAUGUCUCAGACCAUGAUUUUAUCAGCUCAGGACAAAACCGCAACAUCUCUUCAGAUUACAUCAAGCCAUCACUAGCGUGGCGCAAUUAUAAUGUCCGCUUCUUUCCAGAUGGCACCCGGAAUUGCUACACCUUGAGAUCCUUGGUUGCAGGAAACAAGUACUUUGUUCGUGCAACCUUCUACUAUGGAAACUAUGAUGGCCUGAACAAGCUUCCUGUAUUUGAUCUGUACCUGGGGGCAAAUUAUUGGCAUGAAGUUAAGUUCAGAGGCUCAAGUGCAGUUAAUUGGAUGGACAUCAUAGUUGUAGCUCCUGCUGAUUACCUGCAAGUUUGUUUGGUGAACAAAGGGAUGGGGAUUCCAUUUAUAUCCGGGCUGGAUUUGAGGCCAUUGAAGAGUACUCUUUAUCCACAAUCAAAUUCUAGUCAAUAUAUUGUGCUGAUCAAUUCUAAUCGGUUCAACAUGGGGCCCACAGACAAUUCCAUAGUCCGGUACCCAUUAGAUCCCCAUGAUCGCCUCUGGUCCACAUAUGACACAAUCCCAAAGCUGGAAAGAGAUAUCUGCAACAUCUGUUGUUCAGAAUUACCUAAGUGACGCCUACGAUGUGCCAUCAGCCGUCAUGCAAACUGCUGCAACACCUGUCAAUGGCUCAAGAAUUGAUUUCUCAUGGGAUUCGUCUGAUCCUUCGGUCAAUAUCAGCUCCAGAUACUUCUUUAUUUUCUACUUCGCUGAGUUGCAGAGUGUAGCAAGCAAUGCACUGCGACAGUUUGAUAUCAUUGUCAAUAACAGCACAUGGAACUCAAAACCUUACACCCCACCUUUCCUCUUUGCUGAUUCCAUUUCUGGCACUGUUCAGGGGCAGGAAAGGUAUACCAUCUCACUUGUUGCUACAAAAAAUGCAACACUCCCACCUAUACUCAAUGCCAUGGAGAUGUAUUUGAUUAAACCAAUAAGUGAGACUGCAACUGAUCCUGGAGAAGCUAGAGCUAUGAUGGCAAUCCAAGAAACUUUUGGUGUGAGCAAAAACUGGAUGGGUGACCCAUGUUCUCCAAAAGCUUUUGCAUGGGAAGGAUUGAACUGUACCUAUCCUCCAGUCGGUUUCUCAAGAAUAACAGCAUUAAACUUGUCUUCAAAUGGGUUGGUCGGCUCCAUUUCUACAUAUUUUGGAGAUCUGAAAGCACUCCAGUACCUGGAUUUGUCACACAACAACUUGUAUGGCUCCAUUCCAGAUGUUCUUGGGCAGCUUCCAUUACUAGUGUUUCUGGAUCUUUCCAGCAAUGAUCUUAGUGGACCUCUUCCUUACAGUCUUCUUCAAAAAUCGCAAAAUGGGACUCUGUCAAUAAGGCUUGGUAAUAAUGCAAAUUUAUGUGGGAAUGGUACCACUACUACCUGUAGAUCAGGUCGGAAGAAAAUGAAAGGGGCACUUCUUACCGCCAUAGUCAUUCCAAUAGUUGCCGUUAUUGCCUUAUUGGUUCUCUCAUUUUUUCUGCUACGCCGAAUAUGCAAGGAAAAAGCUAAAAGAAGGGCUAAUGGUCUGAAAGAUGAAACAGCAUUACUUGAGAACCGAGAAUUCUCUUACAGAGAACUGAAGCAUAUUACGAAUAAUUUCAGCCAAGAGAUUGGAAAAGGUGGGUUUGGAGCUGUCUUCCUUGGUUACUUGGAGAAUGGAAACCCAGUUGCUGUGAAAGUGCGUUCAGAAUCAUCUUCACAAGGGGGUAAAGAAUUUCUGGCUGAGGCUCAACACUUGACAAGGAUACAUCAUAAGAACUUGGUCUCCUUGAUUGGCUAUUGCAAGGACAAGAAUCAUUUGGCCCUUGUCUAUGAGUACAUGCCUGAAGGGAACCUGCAGGAUCAUCUGAGAGACACUUCUACUAGUAAAUCACUUACUUGGGAGCAACGACUUCAAAUCGCCCUUGAUGCUGCUCAAGGUCUGGAGUACCUGCAUGUUGGAUGUAAGCCAGCAUUGAUCCACAAAGAUGUGAAGAGUAGGAACAUCCUCUUGACCAUAGAUCUUGGUGCUAAGAUUGCUGAUUUUGGUCUGACCAAGGUUUUCAGCGACUCAAAAACCCAUAUCACCACUGAACCAGCUGGUCCAAUUGGCUACUUAGAUCCUGAGUAUUACCGCAGUUUCCACAUCAGUGAGAAGAGUGAUGUGUACAGCUUCGGAGUCGUUCUCCUGGAGCUCAUCACCGGCCGGUCCCCUGUUAUCCCCAUAAACGACAGCGUGAGCAUCCACAUUGGCGAGUGGGUACACCAAAACCUCGACCAAGGCAGCAUUGAAAGCAUCAUAGAUCCAAGCAUGGGAGAUGUUUAUGAUGUCAACUCAGUCUGGAAAGUCGCCAACCUGGCACUGCAUUGCAAGCAAGAAAUCUGCAGGGAGCGGCCUACGAUGACAGAUGUGGUGGCGCAGAUCAAGGAGAGCAUGGAGCUCGAGGCCUGCCGUGACAGGAAGCGGAACUCCGCGAUGGGUAGUGAUGAUCUGAGCUAUGCCGGCAACGGAAGUGCCUUUGAGGUAGAAGGCAGCGUUGGGAAGAUAUCAGAGUCCUCUCCUGGUCCGGCAAUGAGAUAGACUCAGGUUAAGAGCCUUCUUCAGUUACAUACUGGAGCUUGUGUUAUGUCUCUCUGCAAACUUGUGAGCAAUUCUUGGUUGAAGUAGAGUUGAACUUUGUAUACGAUGGUGUUGAAAUGGGGCCAGCCAUGUAUCUGAUGGUACUCUGGCUUUAACCUGAAAAUGGUACUUGAAGUUCUGUCAUGUUCUUUGCUGGUUUCCUGACUCCACAGCUUUUUCCAUAGUUUUGUCCGGAUCUGAAGAUGCUGAUGCGAAGUGUUUAUCCAGAAAGAACAGAUGUUGAUGCAAGAUUAGAAAUCUCUUGGAAGCAUGCAUGUAAACAGUUCCCAAUUAACUAUAGGUGAUUAUCCUGGAUUUUACUUGUUAUGGUACACAAGCAAUUGAGCUUGCACAAUGUCAAACCCUUGAGUGAGCUGCUAACCCAUACAUUCCUUGCACGUAACUGUGAGAGUUUCAUAA